CGAGGGGCAGCAUGGUCUUAGCUUGCUAAGGCCGAUGGCGACCGGCGCACGGGUGAGUAACACGUAUCCAGCCUGCCGUCUACUCUUGGACAGCCUUCUGAAAGGAAGAUUAAUACAAGAUGGCAUCAUGAGUCCGCAUGUUCACAUGAUUAAAGGUAUUCCGGUAGACGAUGGGGAUGCGUUCCAUUAGAUAGUAGGCGGGGUAACGGCCCACCUAGUCUUCGAUGGAUAGGGGUUCUGAGAGGAAGGUCCCCCACAUUGGAACUGAGACACGGUCCAAACUCCUACGGGAGGCAGCAGUGAGGAAUAUUGGUCAAUGGGCGAGAGCCUGAACCAGCCAAGUAGCGUGAAGGAUGACUGCCCUAUGGGUUGUAAACUUCUUUUAUAAAGGAAUAAAGUCGGGUAUGGAUACCCGUUUGCAUGUACUUUAUGAAUAAGGAUCGGCUAACUCCGUGCCAGCAGCCGCGGUAAUACGGAGGAUCCGAGCGUUAUCCGGAUUUAUUGGGUUUAAAGGGAGCGUAGAUGGAUGUUUAAGUCAGUUGUGAAAGUUUGCGGCUCAACCGUAAAAUUGCAGUUGAUACUGGAUAUCUUGAGUGCAGUUGAGGCAGGCGGAAUUCGUGGUGUAGCGGUGAAAUGCUUAGAUAUCACGAAGAACUCCGAUUGCGAAGGCAGCCUGCUAAGCUGCAACUGACAUUGAGGCUCGAAAGUGUGGGUAUCAAACAGGAUUAGAUACCCUGGUAGUCCACACGGUAAACGAUGAAUACUCGCUGUUUG
rnacentral:rRNA from 1 species